rnacentral:ribozyme from 13 species
GUCUUUCCUUUUCUUUGUCUUCUCUUUUGUCAUUUUCUUUUUCUUCUUCUUCUACAGAAGAAGGAUCAGCUUCAAGAGAAAAGGGGCAAUCAUAGAGAGUGUAGACGAGAAAUCCAAAUUUCUCGAGCGCUUCAAACCCUUUCGUAGUUCUGAUUUUUGGAUCAUAACCUUCUGAAUUUUCAAUUGCUUGUUUGAGUGAAGAAGAAAGAAAG